rnacentral:rRNA from 1 species
GAUGAACGCUGGCGGCGUGCCUAAUACAUGCAAGUCGAGCGAACAGACGAGGAGCUUGCUCCUCUGACGUUAGCGGCGGACGGGUGAGUAACACGUGGAUAACCUACCUAUAAGACUGGGAUAACUUCGGGAAACCGGAGCUAAUACCGGAUAAUAUAUUGAACCGCAUGGUUCAAUAGUGAAAGACGGUUUUGCUGUCACUUAUAGAUGGAUCCGCGCCGCAUUAGCUAGUUGGUAAGGUAACGGCUUACCAAGGCAACGAUGCGUAGCCGACCUGAGAGGAUGAUCGGCCACACUGGAACUGAGCCACGGUCCAGACUCCUACGGGAGGCAGCAGUAGGGAAUCUUCCGCAAUGGGCGAAAGCCUGACGGAGCAACGCCGCGUGAGUGAUGAAGGUCUUCGGAUCGUAAAACUCUGUUAUUAGGGAAGAACAAAUGUGUAAGUAACUAUGCACGUCUUGACGGUACCUAAUCAGAAAGCCACGGCUAACUACGUG